ACGGAAGGCAGCAGUGAGGAAUAUUGGUCAAUGGACGAGAGUCUGAACCAGCCAAGUCGCGUGAAGGAAGACGGUUCUAUGGAUUGUAAACUUCUUUUGUCCGAGGGUAAAGUGAGAGAUGCGUCUCUUAUUGCAAGUAUCGGACGAAUAAGCAUCGGCUAACUCCGUGCCAGCAGCCGCGGUAAUACGGAGGAUGCGAGCGUUAUCCGGAUUUAUUGGGUUUAAAGGGUGCGUAGGCGGAUGAUUAAGUCUGUGGUGAAAGCGUGCGGCUCAACCGUACCGAGCCAUGGAAACUGGUUGUCUUGAGUGUAAACGAGGUAGGCGGAAUGUGACAUGUAGCGGUGAAACGCUUAGAUAUGUCACAGAACUCCGAUUGCGAAGGCAGCUUACCAGCAUACAACUGACGCUGAGGCACGAAAGCGUGGGUAUCAAACAGGAUUAGAUACCCUGGUA
rnacentral:rRNA from 1 species